CGGACCGGCGCACGGGUGAGUAACGCGUAUGCAACUUGCCUAUCAGGAGGGGGAGUAACCCGGCGAAAGUCGGACUAAUACCGCAUGAAGCAGGGAUCCCGCAUGGGGAUAUUUGCUAAAGAUUCAUCGCUGAUAGAUAGGCAUGCGUUCCAUUAGGCAGUUGGCGGGGUAACGGCCCACCAAACCGACGAUGGAUAGGGGUUCUGAGAGGAAGGUCCCCCACAUUGGAACUGAGACACGGUCCAAACUCCUACGGGAGGCAGCAUG
rnacentral:rRNA from 1 species